rnacentral:lncRNA from 1 species
AUGUUUAAAUAUUGGCUCUCUUACCAAGAGUUAUGGGCUAUUUUAAGUCGAGUUCUACUGUCGUAGGUGAGAACUGCAACGCUAAGAUCCUGCAGAAAUGGAGCAUCAUCUCCCAUCAGUGCUCGGAGAGGGGAGAGGAGGGGUCGGUGCACCCUAUAAAAAUGUCUUAAAUCGUCUAUAGAAGUAUUUUAAAUCGGGACAUCAACACCUGACCGGUGGCCUGAGCCGACGAAGACAUCGAAUAAAUUUUUACUCUUUUUAGGUUGACAAAAAAAAGGUAAAUAUACGUGUGGUUGUAAGGUGACCCCAAAUGCAUAAAUUUUACCUUCUACUUAUUAUAUGA